rfam:Penicillium subrubescens strain CBS 132785 PENSTBscaffold_205, whole genome shotgun sequence.
GGCAAGGUGCCCGAGUGGUGAAGGGGUUCGCCUGCUAAGCGGAUGGCUUCGGCCGCGCGUGUUCGAAUCACGUCCUUGUCG